rnacentral:rRNA from 1 species
UGGCGAACGGGUGAGUAACACGUGAGUGAUCUGCCCUCAACUUCGGGAUAAGCCUGGGAAACUGGGUCUAAUACUGGAUAGGACCAUCCUUUAGUGUGUGAUGGUGGAAAGUUUUUCGGUUGGGGAUGAGCUCGCGGCCUAUCAGCUUGUUGGUGGGGUAAUGGCCUACCAAGGCGUCGACGGGUAGCCGGCCUGAGAGGGUGUACGGCCACAUUGGGACUGAGACACGGCCCAGACUCCUACGGGAGGCAGCAUG